UACGGAGGGUGCAAACGUUUGUUCGGAAUCACUGGGCGUAAAGCGCACGUAGGCGGCCUGUUAAGUCGGGUGUGAAAGCCCUGGGCUCAACCCAGGAAGUGCACUCGAAACUGGCGGGCUUGAAUAUGGAAGAGGGUCGCGGAAUUCCCGGUGUAGAGGUGAAAUUCGUAGAUAUCGGGAGGAACACCAGUGGCGAAGGCGGCGACCUGGGCCAAUAUUGACGCUGAGGUGCGAAAGCGUGGGGAGCGAACCGG
rnacentral:rRNA from 1 species